CAUUAGUUUGCAGAUUUGACCUGCCUUUCUGGGUGGAGUUUCCAUGUUCUCUCCAGGCCUGUCCAGUGUGACCUUCACCUCUCGCACAGUGACUGCUGGUGAUAGACACCCAAGACGCCCUGUGACAAGGAAACGAACAGCAGAGAAAACACGUGGAGGCGGCGCGGUUUACUCAGUGCCAAACUUCCCCGAGGGCGCGGUGCAAGCUGCUUCACCAGUCUGCUGGGAGUUUUCUGUCAUCUGAUACCUGGUGUUUAAGGAGGGAGGAGGACCCCAAACUGGAGGAACACACAACUCUACAUGACCUGAAUGUGGAGGGCAGAAAAAGCCUCGGUCAACCCAUUCUUGUGUCCUUCCUGCUGUUCCUGAAGAGUUGCCGUGGCGUUUUCUUCUCCCGCUGGAGGCGGGGGGCUGCUGUCAGUGGGCACCGUUGCCAUGGAGGGUGUGCUUCAACUGCAACAAUGUUUAAGGAUCUGGCAUCUGCGGCGUUUCCAGGCGGAUACACCGCAGUGGACUGGGAGUUCUGCAGAAUUCAGAAAGGGGCCACGGCAGCUCAAGCAGGUGGA